rnacentral:lncRNA from 1 species
UUUGGAGGGGAGAUUAGAGCCGUUUGAAGGGAGUUGUGAGAUCUUUCGGGAUUUCAAGGCUUCUUAGGACUUAUCUUUUAAUUUCUUACUAUCAAUUCUUUCUUUAUUUCUGCUUGCGCUGAAUCUUUAUCUAAUUUAUUUUUUUUGUUUUUAUUGUGUUUUCAGCCUUUUUCUAUCUUAAGGAAUCAGCCCAAAAAAAUCCCCAAUUUCUAGGGUUCUUCCAUACUCUUUUUGGGUAAAAUCAGAUUGUCGAAAUUUGGGGAAAACUAUCUUGGUGUUCAAUUGGGCAGAAUCGCAAUCUCCUCUAGGGUUUCAAGAUUC